rnacentral:lncRNA from 1 species
CUCUGCUGUGGCCAGGGACUGUGGCCUCGCCCUGUGUCCCCACAGAAAUCCGGGGAGCUGGUGGCCGUGAAGGUCUUCAACACUGCCAGCUACCUGCGUCCCCGGGAGGUGCAGGAGAGGGAGUUUGAGGUCCUGCGGAAGUUGAACCACCAGAACAUCGUCAAGCUCUUCGCGGUGGAGGAGACGGGGGGCAGCCGGCAGAGGGUGCUGGUGAUGGAGCACUGCUCUGGGGGCAGCCUGCUGAGUGUGCUGGAGAGCCCGGAGAACGCCUUCGGGCUGUCGGAGGACGAGUUCCUGGUCGUUCUGCGCUGUGUGGUGGCCGGCAUGAACCACCUGCGGGAGAACGGCGUGGUGCACCGCGACAUCAAGCCGGGCAACAUCAUGCGCCUGGUGGGCCACGAGGGCCAGAGCGUCUACAAGCUCACGGACUUCGGCGCCGCGCGCCAGCUGCUGGACGACGAGAAGUUCGUCUCGGUCUACGGCACCGAGGAGUACCUGCACCCGGACAUGUACGAGCGGGCGGUGCUUCGCAAGCCCCAGCAAAAGGCGUUCGGGGUGACCGUGGACCUCUGGAGCAUCGGGGUGACCCUGUACCACGCAGCCACCGGCAGUCUGCCCUUCGUGCCCUACGGCGGGCCGCGGCGCAACAAGGAGAUCAUGUACCGGAUCACCACCGAGAAGCCCUCCGGGGCCAUCGCGGGCACUCAGCGGCGGGAGAACGGGCCCCUGGAGUGGAGCUACGCCCUGCCGGUCACCUGCCGGCUGUCCAUGGGCCUGCAGGGCCAGCUGGUGCCCAUCCUGGCCAACAUCCUGGAGGUGGAGCCGGCCAAGUGUUGGGGCUUCGACCAGUUCUUCGCCGAGACAAGCGACAUCCUGCAGCGCGUCACCGUGCACGUCUUCUCCCUGUCCCAGGCCGUGCUGCACCACGUCUACAUCCACGCCCACAACACGGUGGCCGUCUUCCUGGAGGCCGUGUGCGAGCAGACCAGCGUGGGCCCCCGGCAGCAGGAGUACUUCUUUGAGGGCCACCCGUGCGUCCUGGAGCCCAGCGUCUCGGCUCAGCACAUCGCGCACACGACUGCCAGCAGCCCCCUGACCCUGUUCAGCGCGGCCAGCGAGACCCCCAAGGGGCUGGCCUUCAGGGACCGUGAGUACGGCCGCCCGGGGCUUGGUUGCUUUUCACGGUGGGUGCAGGAGGCCUGGGGCAAAGCCGGCCAGGCUGCCGCGGCCCAGUGUGCCCUCUGGGGGCUCCCUGCAUCUCCCCGCCCCGCCGCGCACCCCAAUGCGGCUUUCUCCUUCCCUCCCUCGAGGCCGGACAGCGCGACUGAGAUGCCCACGCUGCAGGAGCUGCAGGGGGCCACGGAGCUGAGGUCCAGGCUGCGGACUCUGGCCGAGGUCCUCUCCAGAUGUUCCCAAAAUAUCACGGAGACCCAGGCGGGCCUGAGCAGGCUGGGCGCGGAGCUGGCGAAGAGGCGGGCUCAGGUACAUGCGGACAGAAGGUCUGUGGGAUGUUCCUUCUUCGUGGGCUGGCGGUGGGGAGUGGGGCUUGGCUAUAACGAGGAGCAGAUCCACAAGCUGGACAAGGUGAAUUUCAGCCACUUGGCCAAGAGGCUGCUGCAGGUGUUUCAGGAGGAGUGCAUGCACAAGUACCAGGCGUCCCUCGUCGCGCACGGCAAGUGGAUGAGGGAGGUGCACAAGACCAGGAACCACCUGCGCCUGGUCGGCUGUUCCGUGGCUGCCUGUAACACGGAGGCCCAGGGUGCCCAGGAGAGCCUCAGCAAGAUCCUGGACCAACUCCUGCAGGAUAAAGCCAAGGGCGCCCAGGCCUUGCCACCCUCCACGGCUCCUCCUGCACCCCAAGACCUGGCCCUCCACAUGCAAGAACUGUGCCGUGAGAUGAAGCUGGUGGCCUUUGACCUCCAGGACAACAAUCGCAUCAUCGAACGGUAA